rnacentral:rRNA from 1 species
AUACGGAGGGUGCGAGCGUUAAUCGGAAUUACUGGGCGUAAAGCGUACGUAGGCGGUUGGUUAAGUUAGAUGUGAAAGCCCCGGGCUUAACCUGGGAACUGCAUUUAAAACUGGCGAACUAGAGUUGAGUAGAGGGGAGUGGAAUUUCAGGUGUAGCGGUGAAAUGCGUAGAGAUCUGAAGGAACACCAGUGGCGAAGGCGUCUCCCUGGACUCGAACUGACGCUGAGGUACGAAAGCGUGGGUAGCAAACGGGAUUAGAAACCCCUGUAGUCC